GGAAGGGCAGGUGCAUUGUUUCCUGGACACUAUCUGGAGGAGUCACGCCAACUCAGACACGUCUUUCUCUGAUAUCCACCUGCCAUGAGCGUGUGAGGAAGUGAGAGAUCUCUGGGGUAAGAGAUCUACUAGGACCCUUUCUGGAUUUCCAUGAUGUCAUCCAUUGAUCCUUCUAUGCUCAGUGACUCCUCUGAACAUCACCCCACUCUUCCAGGUCUGCUGGGUGUGCACCAGUCAUUUAGGGAGACUCUUCUGAUACAGAAGA
ensembl:misc_RNA